GGGUUGUGAGGUUAAGCGACUAAGCGUACACGGUGGAUGCCCUGGCAGUCAGAGGCGAUGAAGGGCGUGCUAAUCUGCGAUAAGCGCCGGUAAGGUGAUAUGAACCGUUAUAACCGGCGAUACCCGAAUGGGGAAACCCAGUGUGUUUCGACACACUAUCAUUAACUGAAUCCAUAGGUUAAUGAGGCGAACCGGGGGAACUGAAACAUCUAAGUACCCCGAGGAAAAGAAAUCAACCGAGAUUCCCCCAGUAGCGGCGAGCGAACGGGGAGGAGCCCAGAGCCUGAAUCAGCAUGUGUGUUAGUGGAAGCGUCUGGAAAGGCGCGCGAUACAGGGUGACAGCCCCGUACACAAAAGCGCAUGUGCUGUGAGCUCGAUGAGUAGGGCGGGACACGUGGUAUCCUGUCUGAAUAUGGGGGGACCAUCCUCCAAGGCUAAAUACUCCUGACUGACCGAUAGUGAACCAGUACCGUGAGGGAAAGGCGAAAAGAACCCCGGCGAGGGGAGUGAAAAAGAACCUGAAACCGUGUACGUACAAGCAGUGGGAGCCCCACCACUAAGCCAGUGGUGAACUCCACAUACGCAUCCUUUGCUGAGGAUACGGUUAACGGAGCGAAAGCGACGUUCAACCUCAAAAGAAGCAGAGGGGGCUUAGUGGUGGGGUGACUGCGUACCUUUUGUAUAAUGGGUCAGCGACUUAUAUUCUGUAGCAAGGUUAACCGCAUAGGGGAGCCGUAGGGAAACCGAGUCUUAACCGGGCGUUAAGUUGCAGGGUAUAGACCCGAAACCCGGUGAUCUAGCCAUGGGCAGGUUGAAGGUUGGGUAACACUAACUGGAGGACCGAACCGACUAAUGUUGAAAAAUUAGCGGAUGACCUGUGGCUGGGGGUGAAAGGCCAAUCAAACCGGGAGAUAGCUGGUUCUCCCCGAAAGCUAUUUAGGUAGCGCCUCGUGAAUUCAUCUCCGGGGGUAGAGCACUGUUUCGGCUAGGGGGCCAUCCCGGCUUACCAACCCGAUGCAAACUGCGAAUACCGGAGAAUGUUAUCACGGGAGACACACGGCGGGUGCUAACGUCCGUCGUGAAGAGGGAAACAACCCAGACCGCCAGCUAAGGUCCCAAAGUCAUGGUUAAGUGGGAAACGAUGUGGGAAGGCCCAGACAGCCAGGAUGUUGGCUUAGAAGCAGCCAUCAUUUAAAGAAAGCGUAAUAGCUCACUGGUCGAGUCGGCCUGCGCGGAAGAUGUAACGGGGCUAAACCAUGCACCGAAGCUGCGGCAGCGAACGUAUCACUUAAAGCGAUUCAGCGGGUUACGAUUGACGGAGCGAAGCGACGUCAAAGCGUAUACAAAGUCGAGUCGGUUUAAGGAUACGUUCGUUGGGUAGGGGAGCGUUCUGUAAGCCUGUGAAGGUGUGUCGUGAGGCAUGCUGGAGGUAUCAGAAGUGCGAAUGCUGACAUAAGUAACGAUAAAGCGGGUGAAAAGCCCGCUCGCCGGAAGACCAAGGGUUCCUGUCCAACGUUAAUCGGGGCAGGGUGAGUCGACCCCUAAGGCGAGGCCGAAAGGCGUAGUCGAUGGGAAACGGGUUAAUAUUCCCGUACUUGGUGUUACUGCGAAGGGGGGACGGAGAAGGCUAUGUUGGCCGGGCGACGGUUGUCCCGGUUUAAGCGUGUAGGCUGGUUUUCCAGGCAAAUCCGGAAAAUCAAGGCUGAGGCGUGAUGACGAGGCACUACGGUGCUGAAGCAACAAAUGCCCUGCUUCCAGGAAAAGCCUCUAAGCAUCAGGUAACAUCAAAUCGUACCCCAAACCGACACAGGUGGUCAGGUAGAGAAUACCAAGGCGCUUGAGAGAACUCGGGUGAAGGAACUAGGCAAAAUGGUGCCGUAACUUCGGGAGAAGGCACGCUGACACGUAGGUGAAGUGAUUUACUCAUGGAGCUGAAGUCAGUCGAAGAUACCAGCUGGCUGCAACUGUUUAUUAAAAACACAGCACUGUGCAAACACGAAAGUGGACGUAUACGGUGUGACGCCUGCCCGGUGCCGGAAGGUUAAUUGAUGGGGUCAGCGCAAGCGAAGCUCCUGAUCGAAGCCCCGGUAAACGGCGGCCGUAACUAUAACGGUCCUAAGGUAGCGAAAUUCCUUGUCGGGUAAGUUCCGACCUGCACGAAUGGCGUAAUGAUGGCCAGGCUGUCUCCACCCGAGACUCAGUGAAAUUGAACUCGCUGUGAAGAUGCAGUGUACCCGCGGCAAGACGGAAAGACCCCGUGAACCUUUACUAUAGCUUGACACUGAACAUUGAGCCUUGAUGUGUAGGAUAGGUGGGAGGCUUUGAAGUGUGGACGCCAGUCUGCAUGGAGCCGACCUUGAAAUACCACCCUUUAAUGUUUGAUGUUCUAACGUGGACCCGUAAUCCGGGUUGCGGACAGUGUCUGGUGGGUAGUUUGACUGGGGCGGUCUCCUCCUAAAGAGUAACGGAGGAGCACGAAGGUUGGCUAAUCCUGGUCGGACAUCAGGAGGUUAGUGCAAUGGCAUAAGCCAGCUUGACUGCGAGCGUGACGGCGCGAGCAGGUGCGAAAGCAGGUCAUAGUGAUCCGGUGGUUCUGAAUGGAAGGGCCAUCGCUCAACGGAUAAAAGGUACUCCGGGGAUAACAGGCUGAUACCGCCCAAGAGUUCAUAUCGACGGCGGUGUUUGGCACCUCGAUGUCGGCUCAUCACAUCCUGGGGCUGAAGUAGGUCCCAAGGGUAUGGCUGUUCGCCAUUUAAAGUGGUACGCGAGCUGGGUUUAGAACGUCGUGAGACAGUUCGGUCCCUAUCUGCCGUGGGCGCUGGAGAACUGAGGGGGGCUGCUCCUAGUACGAGAGGACCGGAGUGGACGCAUCACUGGUGUUCGGGUUGUCAUGCCAAUGGCACUGCCCGGUAGCUAAAUGCGGAAGAGAUAAGUGCUGAAAGCAUCUAAGCACGAAACUUGCCCCGAGAUGAGUUCUCCCUGAGACUUAGAGUCUCCUGAAGGAACGUUGAAGACGACGACGUUGAUAGGCCGGGUGUGUAAGCGCAGCGAUGCGUUGAGCUAACCGGUACUAAUGAACCGUGAGGCUUAACCUUACAACGCCGAAG
rnacentral:rRNA from 1 species